rnacentral:rRNA from 1 species
UACGGAGGGUGCGAGCGUUAAUCGGAAUUACUGGGCGUAAAGCGCGCGUAGGCGGUUGGCUAAGUUUGCUGUGAAAGCCCCGGGCUUAACCUGGGAACUGCAGUGAAUACUGGUCGGCUAGAGUAUGGUAGAGGGUAGUGGAAUUUCCGGUGUAGCAGUGAAAUGCGUAGAGAUCGGAAGGAACACCAGUGGCGAAGGCGGCUAUCUGGACCAAUACUGACGCUGAGGUGCGAAAGCGUGGGGAG